rnacentral:rRNA from 1 species
UACGGGGGGGGCAAGCGUUGUUCGGAAUUACUGGGCGUAAAGGGCUCGUAGGCGGCCAACUAAGUCGGACGUGAAAGCCCUCGGCUCAACCGAGGAAGUGCGCCCGAAACUGCAGAGCUUGAGUACCGGAGAGGGUGGCGGAAUUCCCCAAGUAGAGGUGAAAUUCGUAGAUAUGGGGAGGAACACCGGUGGCGAAGGCGGCCACCUGGACGGAUACUGACGCUGAGACGCGAAAGCGUGGGGAGCAAACAGG